rnacentral:tRNA from 1 species
AGGACUAUAGCUCAGCUGGUUAGAGCACCACCUUGACAUGGUGGGGGUCGCUGGUUCGAAUCCAGUUAGUCCUACCA